UCAUAGUUAGCCUUGUGAAUAAGGCUUUGGAUUGUCAAUCCAAAGACGACGUAUUUUGAA
rnacentral:tRNA from 1 species